rnacentral:rRNA from 1 species
GUCGAGCGCAUACUUUCGGGUAUGAGCCGGCGGACGGGUGAGUAACACGUAGGUAAUCUGCCCUCUGGUGGGGAAUAACCCGGGGAAACCCGGGCUAAUGCCGCAUACGGCCUUUGGGUCAAAGCCUUCGGGCGCCAGAGGAUGAGCCUGCGUCGCAUUACCUAGUUGGUGGGGUAAAAGCCUACCAAGGGGACGAUGCGUAGCUGGUCUGAGAGGAUGAUCAGCCACACUGGGACUGAGACACGGCCCAGACUCCUACGGGAGGCAGCAGUGGGGAAUAUUGCGCAAUGGGCGAAAGCCUGACGCAGCUACGCCGCGUGGGUGAUGAAGGCCUUCGGGUUGUAAAGCCCUGUCGGGGGGGACGAAGUUCUGACGGUACCUCCCAAGAAGGCACCGGCUAACUCCGUGCCAGCAGCCGCGGUAAUACGGAGGGUGCAAGCGUUGCUCGGAAUCAUUGGGCGUAAAGCGUACGCAGGCUGUUCGUUAAGUCGGGUGUGAAAGCCCGGGGCUCAACCCCGGAACGGCGCCCGAAACUGGCGAGCUUGAGUGCGGGAGAGGGAAGCGGAAUUCCUGGUGUAGAGGUGAAAUU